CAUAUUUAAUUCAUAAAUUUGGACCUUUUAAAAAUUACUUGUUAUAAAUUAUUUUAAAAAAUUUAUUCCUUCUUUUUUUUAAAAAAAAGGAACGCAUCCCUAUUAAACUAAGAUUUGAAACAUUUCCUCCCAGUACGGAAUGUCGUAUCUAUAUCAUUUUUUUAAUAUCAAAUAUUGUAAUCGUUUUCAUUUUUUAUUGUAAUGAGACAAUUUUUUUUGGAUAUCCGAUUUUCCAAAGAUGCCACAAGUCUAUUUAACUAUUUUCAGAUCUACCAGUAUUAAAUUGUAUAUACAUCGCUGAACAUUCCAAGUGUUGCUGAAGUAAAUUGGGGGCUAUGAGGCCACACCAAAUUUAAUUUCGUUACCGGACAAUAAAAGUCUUAGCACAGACCUACUAACAGUUUGGAUAUAGCAUAGAUGUUUCGGAUUAGAAAACAAUUGAUCGAGAAAUCGAUGGUCAUAUUAUGUUCGGGUUGAUUGUAAAUUUCAAAAGGCAUACCGGAUGAACUGAAGGAUCAGUUUGAAUUCAUAAUCAUGCAUCCUGAUACUAUUGAUUCAUUAAUCGGCGAUAAACUCAACUGGAUGACAAGCCUGAUGAAUAGGGAAAAAAACAUCCACAACUUAUUAAAACUUUAGCUCACAUGUACGAAGAGGAUUGAUAUUUGAAUAUAAACAAUAUGAUCAAUGGAUCAUUAUUAUUAUUAUGCAUAGGUUUAGUGUUACGACCUACAAGUACAAAUCUUACUGAAUAAUUCUAUUAUUCUAUUAUUCGUUAGCUUAGGGUUGAUAUUCUCUGACCCCAAAAAAUAUUACAACAAAUUUUUUCCCCUAUUAGUCAAUCACCAUACUUUUAUCUUUAUCUUAGUUUUAAUAAUAUUUACUAAAAAUUAAUACCUAGUGACCUUUAGCAUUACCAUGUUUUAUUUUGUUACUCUUUGAA